CCGGACGCCCGGCCCGCUCGCGGGACGGAGGCGGCGAUGGUGACUGGGCAGCGGCGCGGGGCCGGGGCCUGGGCAGGGCGGCUCGGCCGCCUCUUUCUCUCGCUGCCCCCGCCCCUCCUCCUCCUCCCUCUCCCCGAGUGCUAGCCCGGGCGGCCGCCGAGCUUGGCGCUCUCUCGCCUCGCUGCCUCCUCCCCCGCGCCGCGGACCCUCUCCCCUCCCUUGCGUUGCCCCCCUCUCCCGCCGCCUCCUCCCGCUCUCCUCUCGCUCUCCUCCCGCCUCCUUCUUCCAGGCGCGGCCAGCGGGGGCAAGAGCGAGGUGGCUGCGAGGAGGCGUCACUGAAAGCCCUGACUUGGGGAAGGCUGCGGGCUCGGAGCCGGAGACGCCGAGCUGGGGCCGGGUGAGUUGGGAAUCAGACUCUUGAGUUGACAGCUGGCCUAUGGUUUCUGCAUUUUGUUAAGAAGCACCUCAUGCAAGCGAGGGACCUGGGACUGCUCACAGCCAGGUGGCAUUUUUCUGAAGUUGUUCAUUAAGACUUCCCAGCAUUCCUACAGAUAUAAAUAGGUGAGGCCGCAGGCGGUGCUCUGGGUCCGGGAGCGCUGUCCCCAGCAUGAACGCGGCCGGCGGCGGGAGUGAAUGACUGCAGCUGCGACUUCCUUCCCGGGCCGCCCGAGCCUCCUUCCCCACCGACUUUCUUGUUUUGAUUAACUCCGUGGACUCCUGACUCUUUCUUCGCCCGGAACAUCAAUAUGUGUCAUGUCAUUGUCACCUGUCGCUCGAUGCUCUGGACCUUGCUGAGUAUUGUGGUGGCUUUUGCCGAGCUCAUUGCCUUCAUGAGUGCAGACUGGCUGAUCGGGAAAGCGAGGAGCCGCGGCGGCGUGGAGCCGGCGGGCCCGGGCGGGGGCUCCCCGGAGCCCUACCACCCCACCCUGGGCA
rnacentral:lncRNA from 1 species